rnacentral:sRNA from 2 species
UAGGGGCUUAGGGGUUAGUAUUAGGUUAGGAUUAUGGUUAGUUCGGCGGUUAGGCUUGUUAAUAAUGCCUCAUGAUGUCCCACUGGGGCAAAAGAGCUCAAUCACCACCAACGCCAUGGGGUAUAUAGAGGGGACGAAUCACCUAGUUAAUCCAAUAUUAUUUUAACUGGGUGUUAGGCUGAAAGCUUUUCGAGCCAAGAUUCAAAACCACGUUCAAAUGGAGAAAGCGCCGUGAGUCAGCAAGGCUUGAGAGUAAUAGCCUUGCCUGGACUCUCGCCGCCACGCACGAUUCGGCGUUACAUUCCCAGCACGACAUCGCAAAUGG